rnacentral:rRNA from 1 species
UACGGAGGGGGACUAGCGUUUGUUCGGAAUUACUGGGCGUAAAGCGCACGUAGGCGGAUUUGUUAGUCAGGGGUGAAAUCCCGAGGCUCAACCUCGGAACUGCCUUUGAUACUGCAAAUCUCGAGUCCGGAAGAGGUGAGUGGAAUUCCUAGUGUAGAGGUGAAAUUUCGUAGAUAUUAGGAAGAACACCAGUGGCGAAGGCGGCUCACUGGUCCGGUACUGACGCUGAGGUGCGAAAGCGUGGGGAGCAAACAGG